rnacentral:rRNA from 1 species
GUGGGGAAUCUUCCGCAAUGGACGAAAGUCUGACGGAGCGACGCCGCGUGAGUGAUGAAGGCCUUCGGGUCGUAAAGCUCUGUCAUCGGGGACGAACGGCCUCAGCAGGUAAUGGCUGGGGAUUGACGGUACCCGAGAAGGAAGCCACGGCUAACUACGUGCCAGCAGCCGCGGUAAUACGUAGGUGGCAAGCGUUGUCCGGAAUUAUUGGGCGUAAAGCGCGCGCAGGUGGGAUCUUAAGUCCAUUUUGAAAGUUCGGAGCUCAACUCCGUGAUGGGAUGGAAACUGGGAUUCUUGAGUACCGGAGAGGAAAGCGGAAUUCCCCGUGUAGCGGUGAAAUGCGUAGAUAUGGGGAGGAACACCAGUGGCGAAGGCGGCUUUCUGGACGGUGUCUGACACUGAGGCGCGAAAGCCAGGGGAGCGAACGGGAUUAGAAACCCCUGUAGUCC